rnacentral:rRNA from 1 species
UGGGGAAUAUUGCACAAUGGGGGAAACCCUGAUGCAGCCAUGCCGCGUGUGUGAAGAAGGCCUUCGGGUUGUAAAGCACUUUCAGCGAGGAGGAAAGGUUGAUGCCUAAUACGUAUCAACUGUGACGUUACUCGCAGAAGAAGCACCGGCUAACUCCGUGCCAGCAGCCGCGGUAAUACGGAGGGUGCAAGCGUUAAUCGGAAUUACUGGGCGUAAAGCGCACGCAGGCGGUUGGAUAAGUUAGAUGUGAAAGCCCCGGGCUCAACCUGGGAAUUGCAUGUAAAACUGUCCAGCUAGAGUCUUGUAGAGGGGGGUAGAAUUCCAGGUGUAGCGGUGAAAUGCGUAGAGAUCUGGAGGAAUACCGGUGGCGAAGGCGGCCCCCUGGACAAAGACUGACGCUCAGGUGCGAAAGCGUGGGGAGCAAACA